AAUCUCCCGUUGGUCUCUCUCAACCUGCGCUGGAGUUUAGCGAGGUCUUCCCGAUCUCUCUCCACUCUGGUCCGGAGCUCUCCCAUUACGUGACCGAUGUUCUGCGUCUAACUUUGAGGUGAAGUGAAUUUAGCAGGCAGUGGAGAAAAUUGCACAAGAAAAAGUCGGUAACGUAUGAAUGCUCAAAGCAGAAUGAGAAUAACAAACGUAAGGUAUGCAGUAUUCUUUAUUCUGAUCGGAGUACUCUCGGGAUACAUCCUGUGUCUCAUGCAAAACGACUGGAAAACCGCCACUGUCCCUCUACAUCAGGAAAACACUGAUGAAGUGCAACGUUACAUCUUUCAAGAUGAUCAUGUUCGGUCUAGACUUCCACAGGGGCUACAGAACAAAGAUGGGCCGAGGAAAAUACUUCUGGACUGUGGAGCUAACGUUGCUUCUACUGUACAGUUAUUUCGGGAGACUUACCCUGGUGGAACAGACUACAUUAUCCACUCGUUCGAGCUGGAUGCGAGGCUGGCACCCUACUUUGCGUCCUACUCCAACCAUGUCCUCCACUGUCCAGUUGCCGUGGCCGGGCAAGAUGGAAACAUGACUGCCUACGGCGAGUCGGCAUGGAGUCCCGACAAAGGUCUUGUCAAUGGUUACGACCGGAUGUGGGGAGGUGCGACGAUCUACGCCGAUGAUUCGGAGAUAGAUGAUGAAAAAUCCGGCAGAAAACUGGGAGUACGCAACGUCAGACCUACGUUGGAUCUGUCCACGUGGAUACAGGAAAACACCGCACCGGAAGACUACGUUAUUUUCAAACUUGAUGUAGAGGGAGCAGAGUACGACAUCUUGGAGAAGAUGAUCAGAGAAGGCACCUUCGAGUGGAUAGACAAGUUUUAUGGUGAGUUCCACAGCUUCCUUACUGUACCGGGUUGGCCGAAAGAAAGAAGACAAGAACUUAAGUCUACUCUGGCCAGCCAUGGCAUCAGACAGAUUGACUGGGCAGCGCAGGACAAAAGAUACAGAGACAUGGAACGCCUUCAGAGAUCAGACGUCCCAGAUGACGCCCCUGGAGCUGCUGGGGACGUCUACUCCAACUGUUCCCGCUCUCCUGGCGGUCCGGCCCGCUUGGCCCUGACGGUUCAGGUCGGGAUGAACAGGAAGGCAGCCCACAAACUAGUGGAGACGAUCCGGGCGCACUCCAGCAACAUGCCGGUCACACUCUUCGUCUACGGGGACUUCGUGCAGGAGUUCCCGGACCUGGUCACCAAGUGGGCCGACAGAUAUACGAUAGGGAUACGAGAGGGCGCACCGUUUCCGGCAGGUCACUGGGUUCUGCAGAACACCGAAGUGAUGCGGAUGAGCAUGAUGUCGGCUGUACAGCGGAUGAGGGAAGUCGGGCUACAACCAGCCUACUACUGUCCUGAUGGUCUGUCGAAACGGGUGAUUGAUAUAGCGAAGGCAAGAGGGUUGAGGCUCAUUCAGCCAACAGCAUCCUUUCCUCCAAAUGUUGGAACACUGUUGACAGAAGACAACUACUAUCAGUACAAUGACGUGUUUAGGACCCCCAAGGCGCUCCGUAUCCUGUAUGAGCGCAUCUCUAACGGGGGGAUCCUCAGUCUAAACAGUGACCAUCCUGACAGUUACAUGAUCUCUGUUUAUCUCAUGGACUAUCUGUACGAAAACUCCGGCUUUGAACUUGUCGGUGUAGACACCUGUAUAAAACCAUAGAUUCAGCCUUUAAGACAUGAAUAGUACGUAAAGAGGCAAGUUUAUAGUGUUACAUUUACAUGGGUAAAUAGUGUUCUUUUCUAUGACCGAUCGCUUUGUCCUUUGCAUUGUACAUGGACAAAUUGUAGCACUCUUUAUGAAUAUAUAUACAUGACUGUUUAACUAUCAUGUAUUCAGGUAUCAGCAUAAGAAUUGAAUAUUGAAAAAUGCAUGCUGAAGGACAGUGAUACAAUGCGAUAGCUUUCAAGACCUUACCAUUAUACCAAUUUGUGGCAGCAAUGUAGAAGAAUAUCUUAUGUGAGUCUGUAGAAGGAUAUCUUAUGCGAGUCAAUAGUUAUAUUUUGCUAGAACACGAAAAUUACAAGAACCGCUGUAGCAACUAAGUAUACGGAUUACUGUUUUAGGAAUUACUGAUGUAGAUAUUUUACGUGUCGUUAGCAGCGAUGCCUAGAUUCAGUACGAAACCAGUCAGUAUUGCCCCGAGGAAGGUUGCAGAAAGUUACAGAAACGUUGGCUUCUAAACAACUAAAACAUUACUUGUCGCGUUUUUUUUUUGGAGAAAAUAACCUAGACGAUAUAUUUGCGAAUCUUAUGUUCGUAAAGCCUAGUUCUCUUUCUUCUUUAUUUCUUUUAUGUGGAAAACCUGGAGAUUAAGUACAUACAGAGUGGGCGAAACCUUCCCAGUACAUGCCAGUAAAGUAUGUUAUAUUAUACUAUAGAGGAGUGAAGGUCGCGAACGUACCCUCAAAUGCUUACUGUUCUAUCAACUUUACGUAAGUCUAAGAAAACGCAUGUCAUACAAAUUCUGCACGGUCUUUGGACUGGUCUUUCGGGCCUCCAACUGUUAGCCGACGAUCAAUCCAUUAUCUGACGGGAAGACAUUAAAAACAAGAAUUUUCAAAACUGAUUAAACAAGAAUAGGGUCUUUCAUAUGAUAGUUCACCUUAAACUGUCCCAAUUUCACCCAAAUAUCCUACCAAUGUCGCUAGCACUAAGAAAUGGCUUUCAUAUUUGUUCUCACCGUGGUUAACUGUCGAGUCCCCCAGAUAAAGUGCAACUUCACAUUGAAUGCAGAAAAAACUACAAUAAAAUAUGCAUUAUCGUCCAAUGGACAACUCGCCUUUACCCUUACUGGGCAUGUCCUUUAUAUCAAUUUACAAAAAAUUAACAAUACACCGAUCCGAAGUGAUAUAAAUUUCUGAGUGUGACAAGUUAUCCUACACCAUUCGCAAGGUCAGAAAGUGUCCACCCAUGCGCUCUGUGCUAUAAGGAAUGGGAUUUGGUAGUACGAAAUAUCAAAGGAAUAGAGAGCAAAACUUGAACGUUUCUCUUCGUUUUUAUGCGUUUACGUAUUUCAGAUUUCAAAUCCUGAAAUACGCAUACGCAAUGUCAAAGGUGAAGGCCCCAAACGUUUAAUGCAAGUGAUCUUGUUGUGUAUAGACCAUGGUUACUAGUAUUCCAUGCGUACUUCAAAUUGUGAACCGACUUGUGGCCCGCGCAAAAAGCAAGGCAGCUAAAUCCCUACUGAUGACUUAGCUGUGAAUCGGGCUUGACCCUAGCAAGUUGCAGUCAAAUUUUACCUUAAGAUGAGGGUUUAGAAACAUUGUAAGAUAGGAUAAUCCCCCCACCAGCUUCUCUAACAACUGCUGAUGACAAGCAACAUUAAUCGUUUUCUGAGUUUUAAAAAACACGGCGCAACUCGAAAAUAAAAGCGACACCCUUCAGCUUUUUGUAAAUUGCAGUGGUUACGAAGUGCUCCCCACAUGUACAGCAUUACUUAGUGCUUUAUUAUCUAGAUUAUCACAUCAUCAAAUUCUUUAAUCAUACAUUCCAUACAAAUGAUUAUAUAUAGUUAAGUAUCUCAUUGACAUAACACCAUUGCAAGGUGGAAUAAUUUCAUUCUUCUAUCAAUUAUUGGCAAUCAAUUAUAUAAAACAAUAAGGCAACUUCAUCAUCUUUAUGAUUGACACCUUUAAGUACACACUAAAUUAUAUUUCUGUCUUACCUAACAAUCGAGUCCCAUAUUCACUACACAACAAAUAAUAAACAUGAAGGCAGUUCUAUGUUCUUGCAUUCCAUACAGCCAAACGGUACCUGCACAAGUGACAAUCUUAAGACUUCAACCUGAGGACCACCAGACCAUUGCGACCACUUUUUGGCAGUCUCUAAGCUUGUUUCCAUUGACACAAACUCUGAAGAAUCUAUUCUUCUGUGACCACUUGUCUACAUAGAACAGAGAAAUUUCAAAAGUCCUCAGAGUGGCCAUCUUGGGCAGUUUUAACAAGGAACUUUGGACUUGACAGGACUGGACAAGCUCAACAUAUACAUCAUACAUGUAUAAGUUGCAAAGUCAGUAUUGUAAUAUACAACAUACAUAUUCUGACAGCAAGAUUUAGUGGCAAUGAGGCAAGGAAUCUUGUAUUGCAAGGAUAUACGUUUGUACCUUUGGAAUAACACAACCAAACUUGUGUAAUCCAAAUUAGUUUAUACUAUGGGUCCUUCAAUACAUGUACAUGUAGUUCAUAUCAAACUUAUGAUGGUGACUUGUUGCAUAAUUCUUUUGUUAUGAUUUUAAUAAUCUUGUCUGUCAAUGCAGACACAACUGGCUUAUAAAACCGAAAGUCAUCAGAUCGUCUUUGCAAUUUUUUACCCUUAAAGUUCUGUAACUGAAUGACAAAAGGACGGAAUCUUGGAAAGAAUGGCAAGUUUAUAUUCUGAAGAUAAGCCUAUGAGUGCGAAAUCCUACUGUUGUAAAAUAUUGUUGAUACACAAAAAGGUUGCUCAAAACAUUUAAGGUGUAAAUGGAACCAUCAAAACAUCAGAAAGAUUUUAAGGUAUAGUGUUUUACCAAUCUUUUUUAUACAUACUUUAAGUAGUACCAAUGAUUAUAAAGGCAAGAAAGUAUGCACCAAAUCAACUCUAUAAUUUAAGCAUCAAAGUACCAAAACUAUACCAUACACUGUGCAUCUAAGCUUUGCUUACAAUAAUUUUUCAAGUAAAGAUCAGAAAAUUACACCAUAAUAUCUUGGGUUAUAUCAUUAUGAUUGUAUGGCUUAUCCCACAAUACUGCCAUUGAUGAACAUAGUCAUUAUCCUAUGAUAAUUGCUCAUUGUAUCUUAAUAUGUAACAGCACGUAGACUUUUUGAUCAACUUGUCAUGCAACUUCUUUUUUUGUGUGUCUUGAAUUCUUUGAGUAUAAAGAAAAUUAUG